UGGUCUGGUUGCUGAAAACAAGG
rnacentral:miRNA from 1 species